AACGCACAUUGCGCUUGCUGGAUUUAUCUGGCAAGCAUGCCUGUUUGAGCGUCGAUAAAAUAUAUCUCUAGCAGAAUUUUUCGAUUGUGCUAGGUAUUGACCUUUUGCCCGAAGGGCAUGUUGCUUCUAAGGAGCAGCUGGGUUCAAAUUUAUCUUGAUCCCUGGUUAAAACAUCCGAGAUCAGCUUAACAGUGUAAUAGUGUGUUCCUUUUCCUUUCGAGAAGGAAAGCAAUUCUUUCACUGGGCGCUGGUUCCUUUUCUGUUUUCUAGCGAGUUUUUUUCUCCUAGAAUGAAGAAGGAAUGAUGGCUGCUUUGUCUUUAAGCUGGUUUGUUUUAGCUCAAUUGGGGCAAUCUUUUUAUUUAAGCUUGAACUAUGGACCUCAAAUCAGGCAAGAAUACCCGCUGAACUUAA
rnacentral:misc_RNA from 1 species